rnacentral:rRNA from 1 species
AUUGAACGCUGGCGGCAGGACUAACACAUGCAAGUCGAACGCGUGGCGGACGGGUGAGUAAUGUCUGGGAAACUGCCCGAUGGAGGGGGAUAACUACUGGAAACGGUAGCUAAUACCGCAUACCAUCGGAUGUGCCCAGAUGGGAUUAGCUUGUAGGUGAGGUAACGGCUCACCUAGGCGACGAUCCCUAGCUGGUCUGAGAGGAUGACCAGCCACACGGGAACUGAGACACGGUCCAGACUCCUACGGGAUGGAGCAGUGGUGAAUAGUGCAAAAUGGGCGCAAGCCUGAUGCAGCCAGGCCGCGUGGAUGAAGAAGGCCUUCGGGUUGUAAAGUACUUUCAGCGGUGAGGCGUUACCCGCAGAAGAAGCACCGGCUAACUCCGUGCCAGCCGCCGCGGCAAUUC